rnacentral:lncRNA from 1 species
GCUCAACAUCAUCUCUAUCAAAAUCAUCGAAACAGUAAUCACAUCAAGAUAAUACUAUUAUAGAAGUACACCAUUUAUUCAAAGUAUAAAAAAAGGGCAGCCCGGUGCACUAAAGCUCCCGCUAUGCGCAGGGUCCGGAGAAGGGCCCUACCACAAGGGUGUAUUGUACACAACCUUACCUUACAUAUCUAUCGGAGACUGUUUCCAAGACUUGAGCUUGAGACCUCCUGGUCACAUGGCAACAACUUUUACCUGUUACUCCAAGGCUCCUCUUGGAUGGAUAUAGUAAAUUACCUCUAUUUUUAUCGUUCUUAAAGUGUGUGUCACGUCAAUAGCAGACAAGUAAAAUAUACUUUCUUAAAGUGUGUGUCACGUCAAUAGUAGACAAGUAAAGAUAGACUUUCUUAAAGUGUGUAUCACGUCAAUAGUAGACAAGUAAAGAUAAACUUUCUUAAAGUGUGUCACGCUAUGUUGCUCGGACUCAUCAAAAAUGUUGUCACACCCUUGUCGGAUCCUCCAAAAAAUACACUAUAUUUGGAGUACCCGACACACAUCAGUAGAUAUUUUUGAAGAGUCCGAGCAACAUAGGUGUCACGUCAAUAGCGGACAAUUAAAGAUAAGACAUUCCUAAAGUGUGUGUCACGUCAAUAGUAGACAAGUAAAGACAGACUUUCUUAAAGUGUGUGUCACGUCAAUAGUGGACAAGUAAACAUACACAUUCUUAAAGUGUGCGUCACGUCAAUAGUAGACAAGGAAAGACACACUUUCUUAAAGUGUGUAUCACGUCAAUAGUAGACAAGUAAAGAUAAACUUUCUUAAAGUGUGGUGUCACCAAGGGCGGAGCUACACUUGGCCGAGGGGUUCAUCCGAACCUCCUUCGGCGAAAAGUUUUACUAUUUAUAAUUUUUUAUGUAUAUACAGUAGAAGUUGAACCCCCUCUCUUCGACACGUUCAUAUGUUUACUUCUGAACCUCCUUCACAAAAAUCGUGGCUCCACCACUGGAUGUCACGUCAAAAGUGGGCAAGUAAAGAUAGACUUUCUUAAAGCGUGUGAACAAGUAAAGAUACACUUUCUUAAAGUGUGUCACGUCAAUAGUAGACAAGUAAAGAUAACACUUUCAUAAAGUGCGUGUCACGUCAAUAGUGGACAAGUAAAGGUUGACAAAGACAGUAUCUUUUAUACAAAAAAUCAAGAAAACCUCACCUGUUCAACAUAACAGUACUCACAACAAGAUAAUAUGAUAAUGCAAGUACAUCAUUGUUUCUUAAAAUGCUUGUCACGUCAACAGUGGACAAGUAAACAUGAACGUAGACACACUAUCUUUUAUACAAAAAAUCAAGAAAACCCCUCACCUGUUCAACAUCAUCUCUAUCAAAAUCAUCACGAUUUUGACUCCCAUAAACUCCAGCAGUCUCAGCAUUCUGUCUGAAAUUAAACCAACAUGUUGUUCUUGAACCACAACUUGGUCCUAACUCCCUAGCUACCUUACACCAUCUUCCAAUUCUUGAAACACCACCAAUAAAACAAGAAUUCAAUUUUACUCUAGUACACAAAUUAUUGGAUCUUGAUAAACAAGAAUUAGUUAAGUUUAGAGUAAUGGAAGUAGUAGUAGUACAAGGAAUUGAAGCCAUUGUUGUCGGUGGUGGUGGUUAAAAGUGAUCUUUUUGAACCUCAAAAAUAUCAACUACCUUAUCUAAAAAAAAAAAAAAAAAAAAAAGGUGAACUACCUUUUUUAAAUUAUUUUUUUAAUUGAAACUUUCUACGUGACAUAUUUAAGAUCAUGUUUGAUAUAUAUUUGACGUAACUUUAAUUUAAGAUUUACGAGAUUUAAAAGUUCAGAUUCUGAUAUUAUUUAUUGAGAAAGUUUGAAGCGUAUUUAUUGAUAAUCGAUCUGUCCAUAUAUAGGGCGGAUCGAUAAACGAAUGAUAAAUGAUCUGUCCAUAUAUAAGGCGGAUCGAUAAUCGACUGUCUAUAUAUAGGGCGGAUUGAUAAUCGAUCUGUCCAUAUAUAGGGCGGAUCGAUAAACGAAUGAUAAAUGAUCUGUCCAUAUAUAGGACGGAUCGACAAUCGAUCUGUUCAUAUAUAGGGCGGAUCGAUAAUCGAUCUGUUGAAUUGAUAAUCGAUCUGUCUAUAUUUCGAUCGGAUAGAUAAUAGAUUUGUCUAAAAAAUGAGUCAUUUCCCUAAAAAAAGAAAAAAACUUGUAAUCUAUUUAAUUAAAAAGACUUGAAAAGGUCAUUUAAUAAAGAAUCACGAUAUUAUUGACUGAUUCGGGCGUAUAUGCAGAAAUCUUUUUCAUUAUUUUAGCAGAUCUUUAAAAAAAAUGACUUUAUAUCGAAUAAAAUAUAUACUUCGACUUUCUUGUGCUAGAUUUAGGUCGAAAACAUAAUUUUUUAUCUUCUUAAACUUUAUGUUAAAUCAAAAUAUAUCAUUCUUUUUUAAAAGGAGCAAUUACUAUGUUACUUUUUGAUAGAAUAAUUUUUAAUUUGAACUUUUUAUGUAACAUGUUUAAGACCACGUUUGAUACAUUUGAUGUAGAUUUUCAAGAUUUAAAAGUUCAGAUCAUGAUAUUAUUGAUCGAUUUAAACGUAUAUGCAGAAAUCUUUUUCAUUACUUUAGCGGAUCAUUCAAAAAAAAAUUGACUUUAUAUCAAAUAAAGUAUAUACUUCGACUUUCUUGUGCUAGAACUUUAGCUCGAAAACAUAAUUUUUUAUUUUCUUAAACUCAAUACUAAGUCAAAAUAAAUCAUUCUUUUUAUAACAGAGGAAUUACUAUAUUGCUUUUUGGAUAGAAUAACUUUUGAAUUUCAGUUUUUUUCCGUGACAUGUUUAAGAUCAUGAGGUAACUUUAAUUUAAGAUUUACAAGAUUUAAUAUUUCAGAUUCUGAUAUUAUUGACCGGUUUUGACGUAUAUGCAGAAAUCUUUUUCAUUAUUUUAGCGGAUCUUCCAAAAAAAGAAGACUUUAUAUCGAAUAAAGUAUAUACUUCGACUUUCUUGAGCUAGAACUUUAGCUCAUAAAUAUAAUUUUUUAUUUUCUUAAACUCGAUGCUAAAUAAAAAUAAAUCAUUGUUUUUAUAAUGGAGAAAAAUGAACAAUAUACAUAUAAGUAAUUUUGGAUGGCAGACAUUGACAUGAAAAUCAAAGUGGCGCAGCGGAAGCGUGGUGGGCCCAUAACCCACAGGUCCCAGGAUCGAAACCUGGCUUUGAUAAAGUUUUACCACUUUUUUUCAUUUUUCUUUUUUUGAAAUGGAAAAUGAAUUAAAAAAAGCCCAAGAUAUAAAAGAAAAAACAUAAACGUACACCUUAAUUUAUCAUAUUUACAUAAAUUACUACCUUUACGAAGUAAUUAUAAAAAUUUCAACUAAUUAUGUAUCUUCAGUGGAUGUAUCGAGAGCUAAUUAUGUAUCUCGACAGACUCAAAAUCGAAAAAAAAUGUAUUAGGAGCUAAGUAAUUACAAGAAUCUCAACUAUUUAUGCAUCUUCGUUGGAUGUAUCGACAGUUAAUUAUAUAUCUCGACAGACUCAAAAUCGAAAAAAAAUGUAUUGGGAGUUAAUUAUGUAUCUUUACAAUGGAAAAAAAAAAUGUAUCUUCGUUGGAUGUAUUAUGCAUCUCGACGGACAAAAAUAAAAAAAGAAUGAAUGAAGAGCUAAUUAUGUAUCUCGCUAGACUCAAAAUCGAAAAAAAAAAUGUAUUGGGAGCUAAUUAUAUAUCUUUACAAAGUAAAAAAAAAUGUAUCUUCAUUAAAUAUAUUAGGUAUCUCGACAGACACAAAAUUAAAGAAAAUAUAUCGAGAGCUAAUUAUGUAUCUUUACAAAGGAAAAAGAUAUUGUCGUUGGAUGUAUCAGGAACUAGUUAUGUAUCUCGACAGAUUCAAAUUUGGAUAUUCAAUAAUCGUAUAAAAUAUCGAAACUUUUUGAAAUUAAACUCCAAACUGUCGGAUUUUUUUCUAUAACUAUAACUAUAACUAUAACUAUAACUAUAACUAUAUAUAUAUAUANNNNNNNNNNNNNNNNNNNNNNNNNNNNNNNNNNNNNNNNNNNNNNNNNNNNNNNNNNNNNNNNNNNNNNNNNNNNAUAUAUAUAUAUUUUAUUUUUCUUUCAAUAUACUUGUGACCCCACUAAAGAAAUAUUUCAUCUUUCACAUGACCACCUCAAUAAAUCAAUAAAUAUAAAACAAGAAAUUACAUUUAUUAAUUUCAAGAUUUUGUAAAUCGGUGCUUUCCAUCCGAGCAACUUUCUCUUAUCGUAAUUUCAAGAUUAAAUCUUAAAUUAGUCUCAAUUGUCACUUUAGAAGUUACUAAUCUGUUGGGAACGCUGUCACCUUAAUGGAUCCUGCAACGCGCGAUCCAAAUUAGUCGAGGCUCCAAUGCGGACACCGAACAUCGGAUGGGAAACCAAAAAAAAAAAAGUAAUUGAUAAGUAAAAAUACUCACGAAUUCAGAAUUUAAAAUUAAUCGGUUCGGAGUAAAUAUGAUCAUAUGAUAUAAUUUGUUUUAUAUUAUGUAAUGUGUAUUUAUAAUUCGACCUGAAAGUAAUGAAAUCAGUUGAAACUACAGAAAAUUUGUUCGGCAUAAUACAUACACGUGCCCAAUGGCGGAGCCAUCUUUGCUCCAGUGGGUUCAUCUCGUCGACGGAAAAUUAUACUAUUUUUACACUUUUUUUACAUGAUUAAAAUAUUUUUUUAGUGGUGGGGCCCUUUUCCGAAUUUUGCGUACAAAUUUUAUAAGUAUGUUGAAUCUCUUUGACUUCUAUGUAUUUACGAUAACAAUCAUAUCUAGGAUGAUCUUCUUCCCACAUUUACUUCUUUAUAUUUUGACUCCCUUUAGUGAAAGUUACGACUCCCGGUAGCCAUUGAAAGUUAGGUUCAAUAGAGAAACACCAACUUUUCGACUCUUUUUAGUGAAAAUUCUAAGUCCACCACUGACCGUAAGAUGUUAGGUUCAACAAUGAAAACAAAAGAUUACAUCGGCUUCUUCGUACAUUUACUUCUUUAUACUUUGACUCCCGUUUAACUUACCGUAAAUUCCGACUCCACCAUUGACCAUAGGAUGUUAGGAUCAACAGCAACAACACAAGUUGUCAAACAAAAGGUUAAACACAAACCUAUCACCGUCCUAUUAAAAGGGCAGUCCAGUGCACUAAAACUCCCGCUAUACACAGGGUUCAGGAAAAGGCUGGACCCCACCACAAGGGUGUAUUAUACGCAGCCUUACCUUGCAUUUCUGCCUGAGGCUCCAAUGCUUGAACCCGUGACCUCCUGGUCACAUGACAACAACUUUACCGAUUACUCCAAACACAUCACCAUCCUAUUAAAAGGGCAGUCCGGUGCACUAAAGCUCUCGCUAUGCGCAGGGAUCGAGGAAGGACUGGACCCCACCACAAGGGUGUAUCGUCCGCAACCUUGCCUGAGGCUGCUUUCGAGGCUCAAACCCGUGACCUCCUGAUCAUACGACAACAACUUUACCAGUUACUCCGAACUCAUCACCAUCCUAUUCAAGUUAUAAUGAAUGCACAAGUAGUUAGAAGUUGAGCAAAUUUAAAGGCUUUUUUUUAACUACAAGCACAUGAAUAGGGUGAUCAUAGGUCCUCCCUAUCUUCAUUUAAGCCUAUAGUUUUCACUUUAUAACCAAAAUAACCAAUUCACAUUUCAUAAAAAACACUUAAUUUUCGACCUUAUAGUAUAAUUGUUCCACAUAUAAUGCAAAAAUCUGAGUAUACUGAGAAGAAUGCUACAAAUAAUCCUCUUGUUGAAAUAGGCAGCAGAGGGACCGUUGGAUCGCUCGUGUUGCGUGAAAUCGAGUACUUCAAUAAGCUACAGCUAAACCAUCACAAAGUCUGUUGCUCGGACUCUCCGAAAAUGUUGCACACUACUUUUGGAGGAUCUGACAUGCAACGUCCGCCGACAUUUUUGAGGAGUCUGAGUAACAUAGUUCAUAAGCCACGUCAAGUUGCGUUCGUCGCCGAUCCCGAAAAGAAAAGGAGGACUAGUAAGCUGAUGAUGCCUAGCCUGUGUUCAAUGGUAGAAGUUGCAGAAUGUAAUACACCAGCUGCUAUUUCGAGAUUCACUUACACGAAUCUAAAGGCUGAUGUUGCGCGGACUCUUCACUUUUGAUGCCACAACGUGUAGGAUUCUCCGAAAAUACACUACUUUUGGCGAAUCCGACGUGCACCUGCUGACAUUUUUGAAGAGUCCGAGCAACAUAGAGUUAGACCGAGCUCUCCGAUAGCUUUGUGAAACCGAGCUUCUUUAGGCUAUUUUUUAUAGGAAUAGCCCAAGUUCUGUCCAUACUUUUGCAUUUUACGUCGACGAUUUCCACCUUGUAAUGUCCCUUUCUGUCAGUUUUCAGCUGGCUAAUAGGAGUUCCAUCUACCGACAUGUUUUCUGAUUCUAGUAUUGGAAUUUGAUGUGUUUUUCUGCUGUUGUGUUUCGUCUUCCUUAACGAUUCAGGGCUUUUAUUGCUAUGCUUACAUGUUGUUCCGCUGCUGCUCGCUUCGUCGCUUGAUGUUCUCGGCUUCAUUCGCUUUGGACUAAUCGCGCUACCGGCAAUGAAACCGCAAACUGUGGGAGAUUUAUUCCUAGACGAUGAUGGCGUCUGAGAAGACGGUUUUUUGGAAUCUAAUUCUUUCGACAUCAAGGUGCUGACUUUCCCAGUAGUUCCCACUUUAAUCGAACCUCCACCACCCUUGAUGGCUUCUAAUGUCUGCGCCAUGAUUUUUCAAAUUUUCUCGACUUGAUGUAGCAGAUGUUUAGUUAGAACCUGCAAGGAAGGAGCAAUCGGAGCAUGAAUGAAUACAUUUGUAUGACCGGAUCAUGAAAUCGCAGUUGAAAAGCUCGUUAUCUAGAUCAAAAACACACUCAGAGAGCUGUAUUAUCUGCGAUGGAAAGGCGAAAAAAUGCAGCAGCCGCCAUGUCGGAUCCUCCAAAAUGCACUGGUUUUGGAGAAUCCAACACGUACUUGGCGAUAUUUUUGCAGAAUCUGCACAACAUAGGUAAUCACUAUCCAUAGAUAGUCAUUGGAGGGCAGAUACAAGAUACAACUUCGACAUAAUCGUGAUCUGGAGACCAUCUGUAAAACUUAAAAUUUGUAAUUAUGGGACAUCACCUUGACCUAUGUUGCUCGGACUCUUCAAAAAAUGUCAUUGGGCGUGUGUUGGGUCCUUCAAACUUAGUGCAUUUUUAAAGAAUCCGACACCGGUGGCAACAUUUUUGGAGAGUCCGAGCAACUUUGACGCCAAUCCUAUCAGCCAAAAGAACAAUCGAAUAGGGGUGAAAAUCAUGUUUUGCCUCGAUAGUCCAACAAAAACAUCACUCAUGAGAGCAAAAACAAAGGGAUGACAUGAGGUCGUAUAGCAGACAACAAGUCGAACGAAAAUCAUACAAGUUUUAUAGCGACCACGAAACCAGUAAAACGCCAAAAUUUUAAACAUUUCCUAGCAAAAAGAACUAGAGAGAAAUGUAGUAGAUCUGGUGCUAUCAAAUUGAGGAGGAGAAAUUUGCAGCUAUGUUGUUAGGACUCUUCAAAAAUGUUGUCCGGUGAAUAUCGGAUCCUCCAAAAGCAGUGCAUUUCUGGAGGAUCUGACAUGGGCGAGGCAACAUUUUUUGAGAGUGCGCGCAACAAAAGUUAGCAGCAUCCAAACCCAGUAACGUUAUAAGACCUGCUUUGUGACCCGACUAAUUUGGAUUGACGCCAAAAGUUUCACUUUGGGAGUAAAACGCUCCCGAUCAAAGGAGUACUUACUAUUCUACCACAAGUCCACAACCUCCCGUGGUAGGCUAACAACUAUAAAUAUCACUGCGAUCUAUAUCCCGUUCAAGAUUAUAAGAGGAACCCAAAAUUGAGUAGGAACUCCCAACGAGAAACUAUGAAAAGAUUAGUGAUAUAAAGACUCAUAUCCCAAAUAUUCAAGAUUACGAAAGGAACCCAAAAUUGAAAAAAGAAAAAAAAACACAUAAAAAUCGAAACUUUUCAAAGUCGAAAUGAAUAAACAGAUCUAAAUUGAUGAGUUAGGGGAGGAGCAACGGUUUUAUUACGAGGUUCGACAGAAUCUAGUAGCUUCAACUCGAACCAUGUAUGAAUCCAAUAAGCUGCCUUUUUCUAGAAUCCAGAACACAUAAAAAAAAAAAAAAGGUAGCCCGGUGCACUAAAGCUACUGCAAUGUGCGGUUUCCGGGGAAGGACCCCACUACAAAGGUGUAUCGUACGCAGUCUUACCUUGCAUUUCUACCAGAGGCUGUUUCCAAGGCUUGAACCCGUGACCUCCUGGUCACAUAGCAGCAACUUUACCAACUUAAAAUUCUAAGUCCGCCUCUAAAGUGAGUAACCACAACGCACUAGACUUAGGAACCCAACGAGAAACUAAUGAAAAAGAUUACUGAUAUCAAAGUUAUUAAUACGAUUAUGACUCGAAAUUCACCAUGAGAAGUAGCAAAUUAAGCUCAUAAAAGCGUUAUAACAAAAGGGUCAAAAAGAAAGAUUGUCAAACAAACCCCACAAAAAACAGAAACUUCAGGUUCGAGCUCUGGGUAUGAAAUCUUAAUCCCUAUUUAGUCGCGCUCUAAUGCUGAUACCAGACACCGGCAAACCAAAAAUACAAUGUAAGAUUAUAAGAGGAACACCAAAAUUAGCAAACAAGUAACACCUAAAAAUUGAAACUUUAUAUAGUCAAAUGAAUAUACAGAUCUAAACUUAUUGAAACAAGAAACUGUGAAAAAUACUACUACUAUGUAAGAUUAAUGAGUAUUCCCCGCGCUCCAAUAUAGGUACCGGACACCUGAAUCCCAACAAAUUGGGAAAAAAACACAUAAAAAUUGAAACUUUAUAAAGUAAAAUGAAUAGACAGAUCUAUCUAUUAUUGAAAAUUUACCAAGAAAAGUAGCAAAUUGACUUCUUUAAAGUGUUCUAAAAAAAAAAAAAAAGGGUCACAAAGAAAGACUGCUAAACAAACUCCACAAAAAACAUAAACUUAGGUUCGAGCUCUGAAUAUGAAAUAUUAAUAAGUACUUAGUCGCGCUCUAAUACAGGUACCGCAUACAUGUAUCCCAAGUACUAUGCAAGAUUAUAUAACAGGUACACCAAAAAUUGGAAAAAAAAAAAAACCAUAAAAAUUGAAACUUUAUAAAUCUAUUAUUGGAAAUUUACCAGGAGAAAGUAGCAACUUGAGCUCUUUAAAGUGUUAUGAAAAAAAGGGUCACAAAGAAAAUUUGUCAAAACAAAUUUCACAAUAAAGAAAUAUGCAAAACCAACUAUGCCAUAAGCAAAAAGUAGGAUAAUAAUAAUAAUAAUAAUAAUAAUAAUAAUAAUAAUAAUAAUAAUAAUAAUAAUAAUAAUAAUAAAUACUAUUACUCCAUUUUUAAUGGAAGUUCUCAAUUGACUUCAAAUUUUCAAAAUUUUGUGUCAAUUUCAAGGUACCUUGUUGUGCUGCUACAUGAUGCAUCAAUCUCUAUGUUCUGCUGGGGCCUAUGUACAUUACAUUUGAACAAUGUAGGGAAUAGAGUCGGAAAUAUACCUAAAUAUUAGUGAAAUUUGUAAACUUUGCGGGGCUUCCUAUGACGCCCCUCGACCAUUUAUUAUCGUAUUUCUGUGGCAUAUAUUUAUCCAGAUAGAUCACUCUCAGUGUGCGUGUAUUCACGCAGUGGUUUGGCUGGAUAAAUAUAUGUUACGAAAAUAUGAUAAUAAAUAGUCGAGGGGGUCAUAGGACGCUACGCAAAAUUGAGGCGCGUUACAACAAAUUUCAUAGAAAUUUAGGUAUAUCUGAAACAUUUUUCCCAACAAUGUAGCUUGUUUGAAUGGUUGUUAGCUAUUGUAUUAUAUUUUAUUGUAUCAUAUCGUUAAAUUCAUGAUUAGGUUAUGAUGAAAAAUCUUAUUUUGUGUAAUAAUGGAUUUGGUGUAAUCUUAUUUGCCCGGGGUUCGGGCGUGUUUUAGAUCGAAAAUCGACAGGCAGGUGGAUCGCAGGUGGGCUGUGGAUCGGUCAGGGGUGGGCCGGUGGGGUUGUUUGAGUGGUCAAACGGGCGAAACGGCGUGAAUGAGCCAUUUUCAGGCCAAAUCAGUGGGUGUUAGCACACAGUUUUCUGGGCAGGGACGAACCUACGUUAUAAUUUGAAGUGCUCCGGCACCCACUAAACUCGACGUGAAAUACGUAUAAUUGCAUAGAAAAUAUAUGAAAAUAAGUAUAAAACAUACAAAAACACCCAGUUUAAUAAAAAAUUUGUUGGGUGCACUAUCCUUAAAUUCAGAGUCCGCCCACUGUUUUUGGGUAUGUUCGGAUCCAGACGUGUUUUCGGCUGAAAAUCGACAGGCUGCCCGUGGAUCGGCCAAUGGGGUUGGCGGGGCCGUUUGAAUGGUCAAACGGGUGAAACAGCGUGAAUGUCUUUCAAGUUGUCAUGUUAUCUACUUUUCUUGACGAUAUAUCUUUCAGAUCGUUGAUUAUUGACAUUAUGUAACGACAGAAGCUAUACAAUUUAUUCAUAUAUUAUAUACAUUAAAACAAUAUAAUACAAUAUAACAUGAAAUUGUCAAUAUAGCAACAUGUUAAAGGAGACAUGUCACAUCUGACAGGUUAAGCUAACCUUUGAAUUAUUUUUUUUAGUUUUUGUUUGUUUGUUUGUGACUUCUUUUUAAUGUUUUUGUAUUUUAUUUUUUUUAUUUUGCCAAUUUGAAAAUGUCAAAUUGACAUGUUUUGGCUAUUAUUUAAAUAUGGGGUUGUAAUGGCUAUUUUAUUAACUUGUCCCCACAAUGAGCAUGUGCCUCAAAGUGCUUAGCUUUGGGCUUUCGAAUGGGCUGUGGCUUAGGCCAUCAAUUGGGCCAUAUAGCCCAAAUAUUUGGACUUAGAAUUUGAUAGGCCCAUGGGGACACAAAUUCUGCUAUCACAAAUUAUGACGUAAGCUCUACCACUUAGGUCGAUCAUCGAUGUUAAGAUGGCGCCUUUUCAAAACACCACGAAGGUCGUCCUCCUAAGUUACGAACCUUUUGGAUCGCUCAGAGACUUCAUUUAGGUAAAUAAACAUUCUAAUUUUGAGUAUGCACAUCUAAAUAUGUUAGCUCGUCUUCGCUAUAUCAGUUAAAUAGUCCAAAUUUACGAAAUAAUCAUCUAACCACCUCCAAAAUUUAUGUGUCACGUCAGUAUCAAGUGUCACGAAACAUCGGGAAGACCAGUUGGAGUAUUUAGUUAUCAGUUGAGACUAAAUUGAAGUGUCUAGUGUCCACGAUAAACAACACUGAAGACUAGAUAAAAUAUUUAGUUGCCAGUCGAAACUAAAUUAAGGUGUCUAUGUAUACACUUUGAAACACUGAGUCCUUACUUACCAUCCGAGAUCAAAUUUAAUUAGGAAAAAUAACAUAAACAUACACCUUAACUUACCAUAUUUAUACAAAUUCCCAUUCUUACAGAGUAAUUAUAAAAAUCCAACUAAUUAUGUAUCUUCGUUAGAUGUAUUGAGAGCUAAUUAUAUGUCACGACCCAACUUUUCAGUUCAUGAUGACGCUUGCCAUAACCCACCAGUAGGCAAGCCAACCUGUAGUUCGGAACGGCUAGUAACGGACUACUUAAUAACAUAAGAAAAAGAAUGCGGAAUAUAUGAGAUAAAGAUCAAUACAUGGAUGAAUCUCAAAACCUGGUGGUAUCAGUACAAGAGCUUCUAAACAUAAUAGGGUACAAAAGUGAGAUGUCAAGAAGAAAUACACUGAUUCAACUUACCUCUGAAUACAAUUUAGAGACUAGUCUAAUACAUAGGAGAGAAAUAAGUAAUACUCCGAAUGUCAGGAGCUCACUCUAAGUUCGAGAUUGUUUCGCUGAAGUUUUUAAUCGGUGGCCAUUUGGAACCAACGAAGGCUUCUGAACAGGGAGUUGACUCUAAAAACCAAACGAAUUGCCCGGUAACCGAACCCUCAGUCCCAGCAAGUCAUAAAUGACUUGGGGGCAGCUAUGAAGAAGCUCAAACGGUGAAGAUAAGCAUGAAUAUGAAAAAUGACCAGAAGGGUCAUUACAUUAUGUAUCUUGACAAACCCCAAAUCAAAUAUAUAUACAUCGGAAGCUAAUUAUGUAUUUUUACAAAGAAAAAAAUGUAUACUCGUUGAAUGUAUUAUGUAUCUCAACAGACCCAAAAACGAAAAAAAUGUAUCGGUAGCUAAUCAUAUAUCAUUACAAAGAAAAAAAUAUCUUCGUCGAAUAUAUUAUGUAUCUUGACAAACACAAAAUUGAAAAAGUAUACCGAGAAUUAAUUAUGCAUCUUUACAAAAAGAAAAAAAAUAUAUCUUCGUAAGAUAUAUCAGGAGCUAAUAUGUAUCUCGACAGAUCCAAAAUCGAGAUUUACAGUAAUAAUACAGAAUAUCGAAAAUUUUUGUAAUUAAACUCCAAACUAUCGAAAUUUACCCUGGCAAAAGAGUAUAGUGAAACAAACUCAAAAAUAUUUGGNNNNNNNNNNNNNNNNNNNNNNNNNNNNNNNNNNNNNNNNNNNNNNNNNNNNNNNNNNNNNNNNNNNNNNNNNNNNNNNNNNNNNNNNNNNNNNNNNNNNNNNNNNNNNNNNNNNNNNNNNNNNNNNNNNNNNNNNNNNNNNNNNNNNNNNNNNNNNNNNNNNNNNNNNNNNNNNNNNNNNNNNNNNNNNNNNNNNNNNNNNNNNNNNNNNNNNNNNNNNNNNNNNNNNNNUCCUUUCACUUUCAACCACUUCUUCUUCUUCUUCUUCUUCUUCUUCUUCUUCUUCUUCUUCUUCUUCUUCUUCUUCUUCUUCUUCAACAAUGGCUCACUAAUCUCCACAAAAAUCAACUCACAUUGUACCAAAAUCCCCCAAAAUUCCCAUAAAAAAUGGCAUCUCAAAUACCCAAAUCUUCAAAACCCACAAAACCCUCAACCCCAUCAUUGUUAAUCCCUGCAAAAUCAUCAUCCUCAUUAUCGACUCAUUUAGCUAUGAUUGAGCUAAAACAAAGAAUCUUGACAUCAAUUUCUAAGCUAUCUGAUAGAGACACUCAUCAAAUCGCAGUUGAAGAUCUCGAAAAAAUCAUCCAAACCCUCUCAAACGACGGCGUUUCAAUGCUCCUCAACUGUCUCUACGACGCCAGCAGCGACCCCAAACCCGCUGUCAAGAAGGAGGCAGUCCGUCUACUCCCAACGGUAUGUGCUUCGCAUCGCGACUUCGCGAUGAUCCAUUUGGGGAGAAUCAUUGGAAAUGUGGUUAAGAGGCUGAAAGAUUCGGAUUCAGGGGUGAGGGACGCGUGUCGCGAUGCGAUUGGAUCGUUGGCGGCUUUGUACUUGAAGGGAGGUGAAGGGGAGAAUGUGGGGUUGUUCGUGAAGCCGUUGUUUGAAGGGAUGAAUGAGAAUAACAAGACGGUACAGAGUGGUGCGGCGUUGUGUAUGGCGAAAAUGGUGGAAUGUGCUAGCGAUACACCUGUAUCGGCGUUUCAAAAGAUGUGUACGAGGAUAUGCAAGUACCUUAACAGUCCGAAUUUCAUGGCGAAAGCUUCUUUGUUGCCUGUUGUAUCGAGCUUAUCGCAGGUGAUUUCAAUGCUAGCUAAUUGUUUGGCUUAAUAUUGGUGUACAUGUUUAUUCGUUUGUGAAAAUGUAGUAGUGUUUAGCUUCUUUGUUGCCUGUUGUUUCGAGCUUAUCGCAGGUGAUUUCAAUGCUAGCUAAUUCUGUAUCUUUGUUGGUUCUCGGAGCAUUUAUAUCUCUCUGACCUUGUUCCGCAAAAAUGAUUAUUAGGGGAUUCAGUCGUUCCCUAAGCUGCGUGUGCCUUUAGGGUGCAUUCAAUUAUGAAGUGCAAUUAGCAUAAUUUGAACAUGUAGGUGAUGGUAACUGGUAAAGUUGCUGUCAUUUGACCAAGAGGUCACGGGUUCAAGCCUUGAAAACAACAUAUGACAGAAAUGCAAGGUAAGGCUGCUAACUACAAACCAUUGUGGUUGGACCCUUCCCCGGACACUGUGCAUAGCGGGUGCUCUAGUGCACUGGGCUGCACUUUUCGAACAUGCUGGUGACGAUCCCGCAUCAGUGUGAGUAUAGAUAGAUCUAAAGUAACUAGAGGGCUGAAUUGGGUCUAAGAAGGCAAAAACACAGGGAGGAACAUUUGUUUUUGUUGUUAGUUAAGUGGUACUUAUUGGAAAGGCUGUGCUUUCUAGGAUAAGAUUUCUUGAUGUGGAAGGAAGGAUGUGAGGUCCAACUUUGAGUGGAAGAAUAUCCUAAAAAUAUAUCCCUAAAUUAAUAAGAGAAUAAAGAGAGGGCUUAUAUUUGUGAAAUACGUUAGGAAUAACAUCACAUUAUCAAUCAAGAAAAAAUAAUGUUUCGCAGAUGCAUGGAUUAAUCAGAUCAAAUUAUGUUCAAAGACUGCUUUAUUCAUCCCAUUACAACAAGGACUUCUCUACUCAUGAACUCUCGGCUAUUCCAAAGCUCUUGAUGCAUGACCUCUAGGUCCAUUCUAGAAUACUUUAGUCUCCAAAGUGAAGAGAGACACUGUUUAGUUACCUUAUAAAGUAAAAAUAAUGUUAAGGUGUCAGCUGUCAAGAUCUGUGAACAGUGAGGACCCCACAUUCUGCGUAUCUAAAACUAGAGACCGUAAGUUCAAAAGUUUUUGAUGUAGGAACAAGGUAUAAAUCAAAUCAACUGUAGUAUUAUUAUAGCACAAUUUGAGCAUGGUAUGUGGGUAAUUCACCAUGUAGACUGAUCGGAGAAAGGAUAGGGAUAUGUUUGUUUUUACUAAAGACACUUUUUUAAGCGUACUUAAUAAAGAAAAAAAAGGCAUUUCCUUAAGAGUGUGGUCUGGUUAUACCUUUUCAUUAUAGGGAUGAGGUCUGAUUCUACCAGGCAUGUCUCUAGUUCUUUUAUUUUUCAUACAUGUUUGGCUACUUGUAAAUUAUUCUUCAGUAAUGAAUCUUGGUUGCUUAUGGUAGGAGUGGCUGAGGACUCAUCUUUUCAUAUUAGAUUUAUUGUCCUUAUCCGUAAUUGGCAAAACCAUAUCAGUGUAUGAACUUCACCUCGAGAUAAUGCCCAUUUUGAAUUUUUCUUUCUUCUUGUGCAUAAUAUUUGGCAGCAUAUAUAAUGGAAACUUACGUGUCAUCUUCAUAGCGGUUGUGCAAUAUUUAAAGCCUGCAGAUAAUAUAUUAUUGCAGGUAGGAGCUAUAGCACCGCAAAAUUUGGAACCUUUAUUGCAGGCCAUUCACGAAUGCCUCGGCAAUACAGACUGGGCAACUCGUAAAGCUGCAGCUGAUACAUUAAGUGCCUUGGCGUUGAAUUCAAGCAACUUGGUAGCAGGAGGAGCCACUUCCACUUUAACCGUGCUUGAGGCUUCUCGGUUUGACAAGGUACCUUCCUGUAGUAAUUAUGUAAUUUAGUGAUAGGGUAAUUUCUUAGAUUAGUUUGAGGGUAACAAUAAUCCUAGUUUGGUAAAAGCUUGGUCAACAAUAAUGAGAUCAUGUCUACCCAACGUUGCCUUUAAGAGAUUUGGAAUGAUUUAGAUCUGGUAUAAGUUUGGUGCUGAAGGCGAAAGUAGAAAGUUCUAAAGUUUGUGGAUGAUCUGUAAAUGAUUGUACCUUAUUUACGUCAUGUAAUGUAAUAAUAACACCUCUGCUGGCACGAUUAUCAUGGAGCAUCUUCAAGCUUGAAUCUAAAAAAUAUAAACUGAAUUCUGACAAACCAAAAUGAAAACAUGGGCGAGAUUAGAUUUAUCCAUAUCCUUGAACUUGAAGUUUGCAAACAGAUGCCAACGAUGUCCCAAAUGUUGAAUUUGUGGCUACAUUCAACUCAGCAAAUAUAUGUUAUUUGUUUGUCAUUAGAGGUAAUUUUGUUUUUGCGAAUCUAAAUUGUAUCUGGGUUUUGCAGAUAAAACCUGUGAGAGACAGUAUGUUGGAGGCUUUGCAGCACUGGAAGAAAAUUGCAGGAAAAGAAGAUGGUGCAACAGAUGAUCAGAAAGCUGCAUGUCUUGGUAAGCAGGGAAGCAUGAACUUUUAUAUGCUGCUUUAAAUCGUAGGAUAUCUUUCCUUUAAUGGUAGCAUCCUUUCAGAUGGUGAAACUUCUGAAUCUGCCGGAUCAUCAGAAAAGAAGGACCUCCGAAAUGCUGGUGAGUGGAAUGGUACUUUGGUAUUGGAUUCAUCUAAACCUUUUUCAUAUGAUUUCAUUUCCGAAACUAAGGUAACACCUUUUCUGAUAAAACAGUGGGCCUAUUAAAGAAGAGAGCUCCUGCCUUGUCAGACAGAAAAUUGAACCCAGAUUUCUUUCAGAAACUUGAAGCAAGGCGUUCAAGUGAUUUGCCUGUGGAAGUGGUUGUCCCUCGUCAAUGUCUUAAUUCAUCGAAUGCACCAGCUGAAGUAGAGUCUGAGCCCGACAAAGCAGAAACAGGACAGGGAAUAUUGAGGAAAGGCCAGCUUGAUGCUAGGUAUAGUAGCACGGAGAGUCAAACUUCUGGGGUAAGUGGCAGAGAACAUGAUAUUGAUGAGGGAGAUUUGACUCAGAGGGAACAAUCGAGUUACCGUGCUGGUUUUGCAAAAAAUGCUGGUCCACCUGAGGGGUUUAUGACUAACAAAGGAAACUGGCUUGCCAUUCAAAGACAAUUGUUACUUCUGGAGAGACAACAGGCUCAUCUGACGAAUAUGUUGCAGGUUUGCCUAAUUAGUUAGUUUUUUUAAAAAAUGGUUUCAGUAGCUACCUACUUUUCUACCAACAAUUCUCCCAAAUUGCAGGAUUUCAUGGGUGGAUCUCAUGGUAGCAUGGUGGCUCUCGAGAAUAGAGUACGUGGCCUUGAAAGAGUCGUUGAAGAUAUGGCACGUGAUUUAUCUCUUUCAGCAGGUAGAAGAGGUGGUACUUUUACGGCGAGAUUCGAUGAAUCUCUUAAUAGGCCUCUGGGUAAGUAUAAUGGCUUCCAUGAUUACUCAAGUACCAAGCUAGGUAGAGGUAGUGAAGGGAGCAUCGCAUUUGGCGAGAGGUUUGUACCAUCUGACGGUAAUUCAUCAGGUAUGAGGGGAAGGAGUCCACCACGUAGAUCUGAUAAUCCUGAUGCUUGGGAUUUUCAUUCGUAUGGUAAGAAUGGGCAAUCAGGCUCUAGGAGAGGUAUAGGUAGUGGCUCCAUGGAUGCUAGGUCAUCUAAACCAGAAAACGAGAUAGAUCAGGUUGGCACCAGGAGGGGAUGGGCUAAAGGAGCAGGACUCGUUAGGUUUGGUGAGGGGCCUUCUGCCAGAAGUAUCUGGCAAGCCUCGAAGGAUGAAGCAACCUUGGAGGCAAUCCGUGUGGCUGGUGACGACAAUGGAACUGCUCGAGGUGCGAGAGUAGCUAUUCCAGAAUUAGAGGCUGAAGCACUAACAGAUGACAAUAAUGUGCAAGAGCGUGAUCCAGUUUGGACUUCCUGGACCAAUGCAAUGGAUGCAUUUUCUGUUGGUGAUAUGGAUUCAGCUUUUUCUGAAGUUUUGUCUACUGGAGAUGAUUUCUUGCUUGUGAAGCUCAUGGAUAGAUCAGGCCCAGUGAUUGAUCAACUGUCAAAUGAGGUGGGAAGUGAGGCUUUACAUGCUGUUGCCCAGUUUCUUCUGGAGCCAAACUUGACAGACAUCUGUUUAUCGUGGGUCCAACAGGUACAAUUUUCUCUAGUGACCUGGUAACAGUUUUUUUGACUCUAUGUCAAUAUAGUUUUCUUCUCCCAGAGUAAGUUGUGAAAGCAGAGAAUCUGUGCAGAUGAUUACUAGAAAAUUUCAUGUAGUUUUAGUUUUUCUUUUAGGGUAAGAGAAUAGACGUUAUUGAGUUCCUCUGAGAAACAUGUAGUAUGAUUUACUGUGUCUAAUGACCUAUAUUGAUUGGUAUCCUGUUGUUGGUUUGAGGUAAAAACAAUUUGGACUUUUUGCACCACUGGCUUUCGAAUUCUUCCACGAGACUACUAAUGUGUCAUGGCUGAAGGAACUAAAUCUAUGGGUAGAUAUGUCAUGCCGUUUGCCCUUUCUUAACAGUCAUGUAGAUAUGUGAGGAAUACCAUAUCGAUUGCAUGCAUUAACAUUUAGAUUUUGUUUGGAACCUGCUGCUACCUUGUGGAACCAUCGAGAAAACAACUAGCAGUUCAAUCUCGUUUUACCCGAUAUUGAGUUUUGCCUCGGAACAUGUCUGAAAGUCAAGUACCUGUCCUUGUUGGGCUAUAAGUCUGUUCAUUCUGCACUCCAAGACCACAUAGAGCAAAAGAACUUGGUAUGGUUUAUAGUUUCCGUAAACUCUAGAAAAGACUGCAUAGUUGGUGUGAAAUGAGUGUUACGCUCUAUUGAUUUUGCAAAAACUUAAGAAGCUAAGGACAUUGUUACUAAUUGAACUACCCACAUAUCCGGUUCCAUCUCCCAUUGAUGAGAAUGCAUCAUAUGAAAGAUAAGAGUUGAAUAUGAUACAUCAACAAACUGCUCAAUAACAUUGCACAAGUUCACCAUAAGUCAAUGGAAAAUAGAAGUAUUUAUAGAGUUGUCAAAGGCAAAAGCAAAUAAAAGCACUAAGGUUUGUUGUGGCGUAAGCACAUUAAACGUGGGUUUUACUGAAGAAAAGAUCUAAUAAAAAAAGAAAGAGAUAUGUAUGUAAUGCAAGAAAGAAUAACUGAGUGAAUAAUUAUUUGGAAAAAAUGAUUAAAGAUCUAUAACUAAUUGAAUAAGUGAAGUAUUAAAUGAUGUCAUUCAAAUUCAAAACCCAUUUAAAAUUUCUGAUUUAGAUGUAAAAAUGCUGUUUUAUUUGUCAGUCCUUAGUUUUCUUUAUAAAAUUUUAGUUUCUUAUCCAUAAUCACAAAAAGAGUUCACAAUAUUUUUAAAAGUUAAUAUAUCACUUAUAUUUUGUUGUCUAGUGCUGUCCUAGUAAAGAGAAAAACGAUGGGCUAUAUGAGACCAUACCUUAGUGCCUGCACCUAAAAUGCCACUUAAGCUGGCGAAGCGCCCAACCUGAAUUUCACCUUUCUUCAGGUCUCAUGAACUUUUCAGCCAAUCCUUUAAGAACCGUUUAUCUGUUUUGAAAUGCUUUUCUCGUGCACAGCCUAGAAGAGGAGUUAAUUGAUUAUUUAGCUUUCUUGACAGUGUGGCUUAUUUUCAUUUUUCUUUGCUUUCACUACUUAUUUUCAGGGUGUUGUGUGUUCAAUGCUAUUAUUUAGGUAAUGGGCUCUGAACCAGUGUCUUUUUUGCUUGCUUGCUCUCGUUAAGAAAAUAAGCCACACUAUUAAGAGAAUGAACUGAAGUUGUUUCCCUUUGGAUAUAAGCCCUCUAUAUUUACUAAUUUAACAUUGCUGUCAGAUUGAGCUAAAGUAAAUCUUGACUUUUCUGUAACAUGCUGGUAAAUGCGAUAUGAUCUGUCAGUUUUCCUUUUAGUUUGCCGCUUUUUUUUUUUUUAAAAUAUAAUUUCUCUAAUGGAAUAUUGUUCCUUGAAGUGUUUCAUUUUGUUUUCAAUAUUAUGCAACCGAAAGAUAAUGUGAACAUCAUCUUUACUGUAAUAAGACAAAUGAUUAAUAUUUCAGAUUAAUUUCUUUGAAGGGGGAUGCAGAUUACAAAAUACUUCAAGUAGUAUCAUCCACGCUUAUCCACUUAAAAUCUAAACCUAAACCUUAUAUCAUCCCCUCAUGAUUUUGAAUGAUGUUGCUCGGGUGAAUUUCAAUUAGGUCGCUUGUGUCUGGACUGCCAAACUGUUCUGCUUUUAGUUUGUUUUGAUUUAUGUCAUUGGAAAUAAUGUUUGUUUGGAUACGGUGUAUUGAAAGAAUUUGUUUUGUUUGUGCUGGAACAAUUGUUCUUGGAAGAGCCUUUUGGUUGCAUUUCAUUUUCCGAAAAACAAUAUCCGGAUUAUAGUUUUCUUCCAGAAAAUAAAACAACUAUUUUACAGGAAACUACUAUUUUCUUUAAUCGAGCAGGCCUUAAGUUUGAUUAUUUCGCUCUCACACACACACCCCUCAUCUAAGUUGAGCGGACUCUUCAAUUUCGAUGCAACACCCGUGUCGGAUUCUUCAAAAAUACACUAGUUUUGGUGAAUCCGACAUGCACCCAUUGACAAUUUUGAAGAGUCCGAGCAACAUAGCCCCUCAUAAUCCAUGUUGAAAUCCUCCGUUGCAUCUAUGAAGUGCGUACCACUUAAGCCAAAGUUUGAUAUACAGAAUUGAGUUCUUUUACUGACUAUAUCAUGUCUUUUUUCUUCCAAUUGUAUUUUCAGUUGCUAGAAAUCGUCAUAGAAAAUGGACCUGAGGUAGUGGACAUUCCUAUGGAAGUGAAAAAAGAGCUGCUGUUAAAUUUGAACGAAAUUUCAUCAUCAGUAGACAUACCCGAGGACUGGGAAGGUGCAACACCAGAGCAACUGUUGUUGCAGUUGGCAUCUGCUUGGGAUAUCGAUCUACAAGAGCUGGAGAAGUAACUGUGCGCUACUCAUUCACCUGUUACAUGAAGUUAGUGUCUCGUGAAUUUUCUCCCCGGCAAGCUCAUUUCCCAAUUAUUCACCCAGGCAUGAUGUUAGUGUCAUGAACUUUCUCUGGGGCUCGCUCAAUUUACCUGGAAGUAACUCUUUUCCCAGUCUGCUAGUUUAGUUUGGAGUCAUUUCGGCACUGGUUCAUAUUUCGAGAUUUGAUGUAAAUUGGAAAUUCGUGUACUUGGGCAGUCUGCUUCGCUUGUAAAUCACAAUUUUGCUGUCAUGUUUACGAAAAUUGUACUCCUAAUCGCAGAUUGUUCUUGUAUCUCGACAGUGAAGUGGUCGAUGAAAGUUAUAUAUAAGACUUCUGUUUUCAUAUAUCGAUGAGUUGUCCAUUUAACAUUGAGAUAUCGAACUUUAGUCAUAUAUCUUUGAAUAAACUUUGAAAUGCUACAUGACUUGAGUAGUCUAUAUGCAUUUUAUGUACAUUAAAGCCUUCUAAAACUUUAACACAAUGUUCAAAAUCUGAAGAAUCUUCACAAGAAAAAAGUGUUUGUUAUGUUUAGAAGGCUUUACUUUUGUUAUUUAUCGACAUCAGCUUCAUUAGUUCCGGUGUUAUCUGUAUUACUUUGUGAUGUUGUUUUAGGUGUGUCUUCUGCAGCUUCAUCCUCGUCCUCGUCCCUGUCCUUGUCCUUCUUCCUGUUCCCGGCUAGAAACGUCAGCGCGGACACUACAUCGCCGAUCAAUGGCCGAACACUGGCUUCGUUUUGCAGGCACAUUGCUGCAAUUGCUAGUGCUUGAUACAGUCCUUUCCUUGGAUAGUUCCCUUCUAGCAAUGGAUCCACCAUUAAAUGAAAAUUUUUCUUGUUCUUGAACAGUGGUUGUGCCUGUCAAGCAGUUUGUAUGAGAGUUUAGCAUCCAUACACUAAAAAAAACGACAGCCCGGUGCACUAUGCGUGGGUCCGGGGAAGAGUCCCACCACAAGGAUGUAUUGUACACAACCUUGUUUUGCAUUUCUGCCGGAGGCUAUUUCCAAGGCUUGGGCCCGUGACCUCCUGGUGACAUGACAACAACUUUACCAGCUACCCCAAGGCUCCUCUUGAAAAGGCUCUCGCUAUGCGCAGGGUCCGGGGAAGGAUUCCACCACGAGGGUGUAUUGUACGCAGCCUUACCUUGCAUUUCUGCCGGAGGCUGUUAACAAGGCUUGGACCCGUGACCUCCUGGUCACAUGGCAGCAAUAUUACCAGUUACCCCAAGGCUCUCCUUGAAAAGGCUCCCGCUAUGCGCAGGUUUCGAGGAAGGGCCUCACCACGAGGGUGUACUGUAUGCAGCCUUACCUUGCAUUUUUGCCGAAGGCUGUUUCCAAGGUUUGGACCCGUGACCUCCUGGUCACAUGGCAGCAACUUUACCAGUUACUCCAUGGCAUCCAUACACUAAUAGCGAGGUUUUUUCCCCGUACUAUCAGGUCACCUAAAAGAUAAAUAUAGGUGAACUAUCUAUAAAAUGUCAAGGCAAGUUGCCUAUUACAAUAGGUUAACAUACAUUGACAAUCAAUGUGUAUGAGUUUGGUGAAACACUAAGAAGGUGUGGGAGUACAGCCAAAGAAAUCUAUAUAAUAUGUACAAAUUAUUAAUUCAGAAACCAUAAGUAACUCGACAAGGAUAGAUUCUCGAACUCAUUAAUUUUAAAUCCAGGAUCCGCCUUUGAUGAUUAGAGUUGUUGUUUAGUGGCAAGGAGGUCAUAUGCUUAAUCCGUGGAAACAAUCUCUUGAUAAGACUAAAGGGCUUCACGCUGGGUCCAGGGAAGGGCCGGACCACAAGGGUCUAUUGUAAGCAGCCUUACCCUGCAUUUCUGUGAGGCCGUUUCCACGAAACGUAAGAUAAGACUGUGUAAGAUAUACCCAAUGUGGUUCAGGCCUUCUCCGAACCCGCGCACAACGGUUCAUAGUGACAUUGAAUUCUUUUAACUUACCCACAGAACAAGAUUUUGUUCUUCACUUGGUUUUGAGGUGUCAAUGACUCUUCUACCUGUGAUCAUCUCCAAAAACACCACUCCAAAGCUAUAAACAUCGGAUUUCGAGGUCAAUUUUCCUGUCGAAGCAUACUCAGGAGCGCAAUAACCAUAGGUUCCCAUGACCCUGGUGGAUACAUGACUCUUGUCGCCCGUUGGACCUAGCUUGGCAAGUCCAAAAUCGGAGAGCUUCGGAUUGAAGUUCUCAUCUAAUAGUAUGUUCGAUGCUUUAAAAUCGCGAUAAAUCACAGGCGGACUAGCUUUAUCAUGUAAGUAUUCGAGUCCUCUUGCUGCACCUUCUGCAAUUUUCAUCCUUGUACUCCAAUCAAGCGGUUUUUUAUCCGGUCCAAAUUCUUCCGGAAAAGGUAAAUACAGUUUGUUAUUAGUCAAAACGUCUAACUUCUAUACACUGUCAAUGUAAAGUUCAGUCUCAUGUAAUAUAUGAUAUAACAAUGUGAAUCUAUGCUGCUCGGAUUCUUCGAAAAUGUACUAUUGUUGGAGGAUCCAAAGUGCAUCUGUUGACAUUUCUUAAAGAGUCAGAACAACAUAGAUGUCAACGACUUGACAGACACAUAUUUCAAAAUAAUGUAAAUCUAUGUUGCUCGGAUUCUUCAAAAAUGCACUCCCACCUGUCGACAUUUCUCAAGAGUCUGAGCAACAUAGAUAUCAACGACUUGACGGACACAUAUUUCAAAAUAAUGUAAAUCUAUGUUGCUCGGAUUCUUCAAAAAUGCACUCCCACCUGUCGACAUUUCUCAAGAGUCUGAGCAACAUAGAUAUCAACGACUUGACGGACACAUAUUUCAAAAUAAUGUAAAUCUAUGUUGCUUAGAUUUUUCAAAAAUGCACUACAUUUGGAGGAUUCAAAGUACACCUGUCGACAUUUCUUAAAGAGUCUGAGCAACAUAGAUGUCAACGACUUGACGGACACAUAUUUCAAAAUAAUGUAAAUCUAUGUUGCUCGGAUUCUUAAAAAAUGCACUACCACCUGUCGACAUUUCUUAAGAGUCUGAGCAACAUAGAUGUCAACGACUUGACGGACACAUAUUUCAAAAUAAUGUAAAUCUAUGUUGCUCGGAUUCUUAAAAAAUGCACUACCACCUGUCGACAUUUCUUAAGAGUCUGAGCAACAUAGAUGUCAACGACUUGACCGACACAUAUUUCAAGAUUUUGUGACGAAAAGUAAGAAGUGGUGAUGUAGUAAUACGUUACCGAGAAGAUGAUCUUCUAGUGAACCGUUUGGCAAGUAUUCAUACACUAAUAUUCUCUGAUCACCAUCUGAACAAUAUCCUACCAAAUUGACAAGAUUUGGAUGAUGAAGAAGACUCAAUAUGAGAACCUCCACAAGAAACUCUCUAGUUCCUUGGAAGCCAUUCCUGUCGAGUUGCUUCACCGCGACAUCCUAGCACAAAAACAUUCAGUCACACAACUAUGCUUCAGUCCUAAACAAGUUGGAGUUCGAAACAAGUAGUGUCGUCAGACCUUCUAUAACAACAAUUUACUGUAAUGGUUAAGCUUUCUUUUGGAACCAAUGUUUUAUGUUAUGUCAUAUUAUAUAUUCAACAUUUCACUAAAAGAAAAAAGGGUAGACUGGUGCACUGAAGCUCCCGCUAUACGCAGGGUCUGGGGAAGGGUCCGACCACAAGGGUGUGUUGUACGCAGCCUUACUUUGCAUUUCUGCCAGAGGCUGUUUCCAAGGCUUGAACCCGUGACCUCCUGGUCACAUGACAGCAACAACUUUACCAGUUACUUCAAGGCUCCCCUUCAAAAGGGCAGCGCGAUGCACUAAAGCUCUCGCUAUGCGCAAAGUCUGGGGAAGGGCCUCAUCACAAGGGUGUAUUGUAAGCAGUCUUACCUUGCAUUUCUGCCAGAGGCUGUUUCCAAGGCUGGAACCCGUGACCUCCUGAUCACAUGGCAGCAACUUUACCGGUUAGUCCAAGGCUCCCCUUCAAAAGGGCAGCCCGGUGCACUAAAGCUCCCGCUAUGCGCCAGGAUCCGGGGAAAGGCAUCACCACAAGGGUGUAUCGUACGCAGCCUUACCUUGUAUUUCUGCCAGAGGCUGUUUCCAAGGCUUGAACCCGUGACCUCCUGGUCACAUUACAGCAACAACUUUACCAGUUACUCCAAGGCUCCCCUUCAAAAAGGCAGCGCGGUGCACUAAAGCUCUCGCUAUGCGCAAGGUCUGGGGAAGGGCCUCAUCACAAGGGUGUGUUAUAAGCAGUCUUACCUUGCAUUUCUGCCAGAGGCUGUUUCUAAGGCUUGAACCCGUUACCUCCUGGUCACAUGGCAGCAACUUUACCCGUUACACCAAGGCUCCCCUUCAAAAGGGCAACGCGGUGCACUGAAGUUCCCCGCUAUGCGCAGGGUCCCGGGGAAGGGCCUCAUCACAAGGGUAUAUUGUAAGCAGCCUUACCUUGCAUUUAUGCCAGAGGCUAUUUCCAAGGCUUGAACCUGUGACCUCCUGGUCACAUGGUAGCAACUUUACCGGUUACUCCAAGGCUUCCCUUCAAAAGGACAGCCCAGUGCACUAAAGCUCCCGCUAUGCCCCAGGAUCCGGGGAAGGACCUCACCACAAGGGUGUAUUGUACGCAGCCUUACCUUGCAUUUCACUAUAGUAAACAAAAAAGUAUCCCGACAAGCCAAGGAGAAAGAUAAAAGAGAUGAGAGGGAAGUACUAGAUUCUUGCUUUCAAUGUUGCCCUUGUACACUCUUCCAAAGCCACCUUCACCAAGCAAACGAUCGUUGUUAAAGUUUUGAGUGGCAAUCUUCAACUCCAGGUACGAGAAUAUCUCAGCGGAAAUGCUGCCUUUUCCGAGUUUUGCUAUUUCUUCUGCUAUAUACCUCCUUCUGUUGCUAUCUGCACACACCACGUUUACAAUCUUGAUUCGUAAAAUGUGAAUUACAAGAAUGUUUAUCAUGUGAACGUCCAAGCAAGCAUUACAUAUAGUGGUUCGACUUCAUAUGGUGGUUCGACUAUUUCUUGUGUUGGCUGCUAACAUAUCACAACCUUCUUCAAUGAACUUCCAACAUAAGCGUGUUGGAAGUUCAUUGAAAAGGGUUGGCACAGAUUACAACCAGCAUAGAAAUAGUCGAACUUGAGUUGAAAAAGGUUGCAAUAGUUUAACAACCAACAUAAAAGGAGUCGAACAAGUUAUUCAAUGAACUUCCAACCAAGCAUUGCAUAUACUGGUUCGACUUCAUAUGGUGGUUCGACUAUUUCUUGUGUUGGCUGCUAACAUAUCGCAACCUUCUUCAAUGAACUUUCAACAUGAGCAUAUCAUGUGGUGGGUCGACUAUGUUUAUAUUGGCUGCUAACAUCUCGCAACCUUCUUCAAUGAACUUCCAACAUGAGCGUGUUGGAAGUUCAUUGAAAAUGGUUGGCACAGAUUAACAACCAGCAUAGAAAUAGUCGAACUUGAGUUGAAAAAGGUUGCGAUUGGUUAGCAACCAACACAAAAGUAGUCGAACAACCUUCUUCAAUGAACUUCCAACAUGAGCAUUUCAUAUUGUGGUUCGACUAUUUCUAAGCUGGUUGUUAAUCUGUGCCAACCCUUUUCGAUGAGCUUCCAACACGAGCAUUUCUUAUGGUGGUUCGAUUAUUUUUAUGUUGUCUACUAACCUAUCACAACCCUUUCCACUGACUUUCAACGCGACCAUUUCAUAUGAUCGUUCAACUACUUUUCUACUGGCUAUCAAUCUAUCGCAACCCUUUACCAGCACAAGUUCGACUAUUUUUUAUGCUGGUUGUUAAUCUGUGCCAUCCCUUUCCGAUGAACUUCCAUCAUGAGCAUUUCAUAUGGUGGUUCGACUAUUUUUAUGUUGUCUACUAACCUAUCACAACCCUUUCCAAUGAACUUUCAACGCGAGCAUUUCAUAUGAUGGUUCAACUAUUUUUCUACUGGCUAUCAAUCUAUCGCAACUCUUUGCCAGUAUCAUGAGUUAAAAGGGCAGCCCGGUGCACUAAAGCUACCGUUAUGCGCAGUGUCCGGGGAAGGGCCCCACUAAUUGUACGCAGCCUUACCUUACAUUUCUGCCAGAGGCUGUUUCCAAGGCUUGAACCCUACCCCAUGACCUCCUGGUUACAUGAUAACAACUUUACCAGUUACUCAAACGCUCCCCCUUCACCAUUAUCACGAGUUGUGACCGGUAAAUCAUGUCGGAAUCCAAAUACAUGAAGGCAAAAUAUCAACAACAACAACAACAAACCCAGUAUAUUCCACACAUAGUCGGGUUUGGGGAGGGUAGAAUGUACGCAGUCCAUACCACUACCUCCCCCCGGCUUAUGAACAUAUUGUAAAAAGUUAAAAGACAAUGCAAUGCCAACAAAAAUAUAUGAACAAAAAAGAUAGAAAAUUUUACCUGUUCUAAAUGAAAGAUUGUCAUAGGAAGGUUGAGACUUGUGAUUUUUAUUGUUUUUGUAUUCUUGAUUACUUUUUUUCAAAGUUUUUUUAUUUAUUUUUUCCUCCUUUGAAACACAACAUGUAAAACAAUUCAUCUUCAUUUUCAUUUUGUUACUCAAUGCCAUACCUCUCUAAUAUUUUUUUUACACCACAAUAUUGGUUUUUCUGGGGUUAAUGUUCUCAGGGAUUUAUUUGUCCAAAUUUAAUAAUGAAAAUUUCAAUAUAGGACAUCAAUAGGAAAAAAAAUAAUAAAAUUGAUAAUCAACAUGAAUUUAAAAAAAAAAAAAUGAAAUCCCUUUGAUCCCAGAAAGAACCAGUUUUUUCCUGGUCUUCCUGGAAAUCCCCAAAAAAAAAAAAUGUGUUUUUUAAAUUUUUAUUUUUUUUGUUGGCAAAAAUCUGAGAAACAACAAAUUUGUUUGGUGUGAAAAUAAUGUACUAAAUGCAUUUUAUUCUUUUAUUGGAGAUUAUUACACUUGUUAAAAAAAUAUUUGUUUGAAAAAACAGUUAAAAGUAUGACUUUUCGAGAACUAAUAAUUCUGAAAAGGGUUAUUUGAAAAGUUAUUUUGUUUUAUUUGAAAUAUUAAUUAAUUGUUCUGUCGUUUUGUUUUAUGUGUCACAAUUUCCUUUUUAAUUUGUCAGAAAGAAAUGAUGCAUUUCCGUAUAAGCUUGUUGCUCGGACUCUCGAAAAAUGAUGUUGUACUUAUGUCGGAUCGUCCAAAAAAGGACUAAUCGUGGCGGGUUCAACACGCAAACUUCAACGUUUUUGAAGAAUCCGAGCAACUUGAUUGUUCUUCUUUCAUGUUACUUCACUAAUAUCCAUGACUAUUCAACGACGACGACGACAACAUAAUAAGUGAAAUCCCACGAGUGGGGGUCUGACGAGUGUAGCGUGUAUGCUGACCUUACUCCUACCUCGUGGAGGUAGAGAAGCUGUCUCCGAAGGACUAACGAAUUAACGACAAAACAACAACAACAUACUAAGUGAAAUCCCACAAGUGAGGUCCGGCGAGGGGAGCGUGUACCCAGAACUUACUCCUACCUCGUCGAGGUAGAGAAGCUGUCUCCGAAGGACUAACGAAUUAACGACAAAACAACAACAACAUACUAAGUGAAAUCCCACAAGUGAGGUCCGGCGAGGGGAGCGUGUACCCAGAACUUACUCCUACCUCGUCGAGGUAGAGAAGCUGUCUCCGAAGGACUAACGAAUUAACGACAAAACAACAACAACAUACUAAGUGAAAUCCCACAAGUGAGGUCCGGCGAGGGGAGCGUGUACCCAGAACUUACUCCUACCUCGUCGAGGUAGAGAAGCUGUCUCCGAAGGGCCAACGAAUUAACGACAAAACAACAACAACAACAACAAUAACAUACUAAGUAAAAUCCAACAAGUGCGGUCCGGAGAGGGUAGCGUGUACCUAGACCUUACCCCUACCUCGUGAAGGUAGAGAAGCUGUUUCCGAAGGACCAAAGAGUUAACGACGAACGUCGAAUUAUAAACUGACAGCAAUGCUAUUACUUGUAGAAUGAUACAAUUUGUCUCAUUUACAAUCUUCAACAACCUUUCAAAAUUCUAUGAGAAAACACAUAAAACAAUGUGCAUAGCACUCUCCUAUCUAGUUACUAAAGACCGUUGCUCGGACUCUUCAAAAAUGUCAUCGGGUGCGUGUCCGAUCCUUCAAAAGUAGCGCUUUUUUGGAGGAUCCGACACGGGUGCGGCAACAUUUUUGGACAGUCCAAGCAACUUAGACUAAAGAAACCUUCUGCAGCAUUUCAAUAUGGAACAGACUAUACACAACCAUGAACAGAUGCAAACAUUAUACAAUGACGAAAAAACGAUGUACACCAGUCUUGCUGCUGUCUACAUGAUGAACUUGAUAUUCGGAUUUCUUAUAGAUUUCAGCCACAUAUCUGCCAUUACACGCGACGAUAUGCUCCAUAGCAAGUCUUGGCCUUUUAGUGGUGAAGCUUUCUUUGCUUUCUUGGCCAUUUUACCUAGUCCAUAAGCUACUAGCCAUUGCAUUGCUGUCAGUUUCUGCUUUUCUGUGUCCCAUGCGUUCUUCCUUCCUCUGCUCCUGACUUUUAGCCCGCCAAUACCAAGCGAUGCGAUUUUGAACUUCCUUUCAUCAUCAUCGAUGUUGUUAGUUUCAUCAUCGAUACGAAUGGCUUGAACUAGUACAAUCAUAGGUCCUCCAACUGCCUCGAACUGCCUCAACGGAUCCCUCAGUUGAACCACAACCAAGAUCAUUAUACUCUCGCUUUUGUCAUCUUUUGUCCAAUCUUCGAGUGGAACUGCAGAGUCUAACGUGUGAUCCUGAUCAUCUUUCUUGUUAGCAGAAUGAGGGGAAACAUCGAAAGGUGCCUCUUCUUCCGCGAUAUCUGCUUGAAUUUUCAAUGCUUCGACUGUCAUUGCCUCCAUUUUCUGCAGUGCGAAUGCUAGAAUCUCGUCCACUGUCAGCGGUUUGUCGCUGAUGUUCCAUAUCCCCGUAGAGAUCCUCUCGUUCCGACUUGUGUUCAUCGCUGCUGCCAUCGAUUUCACUACUGCAACUGUCUGAGCAGCGGUUGAGCUAGCGCCACCUUCUUUGUUCCUCCCUUGAAUAAUUGCUGAAGCAAUGCCUUCAAACGCUAUCUGCUCUGCUGUUUUGCCAACGAGUUCUUCCAUUGGCAUCAUCGAUAAGAUCUUGGACGUAAAUUCCUCUAUCCCAAUAGCUGCCAUCUUCUGGAACAACUCGAAUCCACUCACAGACGAUGGAAUCGAUGGAAGCACAAGUGGUUUCGAUAUCUGCAUCGCGAGUUUUGCUGUAUCUUUUCUCAAAACAGUAGUAUUAAGAGGAUUCAUAGCUGCCAAGAAACCUCCAUUUCUUGUUUGAACAACACAACCUAACCCCUUCGCAAGAUCCGGUAUAAAUACACCCGAUUUUCCCUUUCCGCUGUCUUCAUUUCCUCCUCCGCCUUGAAGCUUUAACGCGGGGGAUUCUUGAGUAUCCAUCUUGUACUGGUUAACGCCUGGAUCUUCGAGCAUUUGGAGGAAUUCCCUUGUCACGGUUUCCUCAUCCGCGUCCAACCUUUGCGAUUCAGAGUCAUCCUCCUCCGUCUUGACAGUGUUUUCGUCUUUAAACAUGGAUUCAAGCGCUUUGAUUUGCUGAGCUAUCGAAUCAAGCGCUGAUAAUCUUGUCAAAUGCAUCUGAUCGUGCACCACGACUUCCUUGACAACCUCAUUACUUGAUGAUACCGAUCUUUUAUCAGAAUUACCUUCCGAUCGCGCUUCUUCUUCCUCCUCCGCCUCUCCCUCUACUUCUUUUGUUGCUUCAGUUUCAACUCCUUUGUCUUGAAUUUCAAUUCCUUUAUCCACAAUAUCGAACUCGGGGAGAUCAAGAUCCUCAGCCUUCGACCCCGGCUCCUCCUUUACUGACUCGUCAUCUAGAUUCAACUCAUCGAUCCCUUGAAGAUUCGCUGUCGUUCCUGACUGUGAAGGAGUCCAAUUAGCUGAACUUAAACUGGACAUUCGUGGACUCGGCACGCUAAAAGAUGUCUUCGAUUGCUUUCUAGCAAACGAAGAUGAAGAUGAAGACGAGUAACUCUUCGCGCUCUUCGUCCCACCUUCAGCCUGAGUAUAAAUCCCAACUCCACCAUCUUUCUCCAUGAUCUGAAAUCCCAGUUUGAGUACUAACUCUCCUCCUUUCGCCUUCCCGGAGAGAGUAUAACUCGUAUCCCAUUGGCGAAUGCGACUUCCUUCAAAGCUCUUCUGAAUCGACUCCUCAAUCAUUUCACUCAGAUCGACUAUGUUCUUCCCGAAAUCCAGUUCCUCCGCGUCCACUGCAAAGACAUAUAUCGAAAAUGGACGUGGCUCAAAUUUGAAUCGAGUACCACCACCACCACUAGCCGGCGUAUAGUAAACAUGACACCUUAUAAAAAGUGUCUCUUCGAAAUCUGCAGCUCCUUGUGAAACUCGAGAUGGCAUAGUUUGCACUGCGCCGUCUUUAGUCUCUUUCUUUCUCACACAUACUGAUAGUCGUAGACCGUUCAUGGAUGUGGGUAGACCCUGAACGGUCACGACUUCAACUGAGAAUAAACAGCUCAGUUUUUGCAUACCGAUAUGAGCCAACGCUCGUAUAGGUUUCCAGUUCCACAACCCUUUCUUCUCGGCGGUUGACUCACCAGUACCCUUGCUGCUGUCUGAUUUCUUAGUUAACUUGCUGCUGCUGCUGAUGCUGGAGCUCCUGCUACUCUGCUGUUGUAUACUGUUGUCUUCACUAGGCCGAGAACGCCAAGGCGAUAAUGACAUUCGCCUUGACCUCGGCUUAGGAUUGACGAUGAUAUCAUCGUCAUUUUUAGGACCACCGGUUAAGGACUCAACGGGAGGGAUGGAAUCGCGAGGUAGGACUAAGGAAGCGGUUCUUCGAGUUGUUGUUGUUGUAGGUGGUUGAUAGAGCGUCUCACUAAGCGCUUCGAGUUCUUGCAAUAACUGUGUAUUCGAUUUCCUUCUACUCGUCGAGUAAUCCGCCAUUUGAACAAUGGAACACAAUGCCAGAAGUGUACGAUACAACAGAUAGCGCUCACCUUCUAAGAAGCGUACGAUACAACAGAUAGCGCUAAUGAUACAACAGAUAAUGCUAACCUUCUAAAGAAGUGUACGAUACAACAAAUAGCGCUAACCUUCUAAAGAAGUGUACGAUACAACAAAUAGCGCUAACCUUCUAAAGAAGUGUAUGAUACAACAUAAUGAUACAACAGACAGCGCUAACCUUCUAUCUAAGAAGUGUAUGAUACAACAGAUAACACAUCAACGCGAGUGAACUAUGUCAUAUGAAAUUCACAAUAGGAAAGAAUUUUUUUUAUUUUUUAUUUUAAAAAUUUUUUGCAAAGUAGUAAAAUGAUUGGCUAGAAAUGAUGGAAGAUAUAUGUGUGUUUGUUAGGUAAGAAGAUUGAUGGGGGCAUAUGAGGACUAAAAAAGUCUAUUGGAAUGGAUUAGUUGUUGUUUUUUGAACCAUAUAUUUGCAUGAAAUUGUUAUGUGAUGGAUAAGGCAAAAAAGUUUUGCAUCUCUUUCUUUGGGGGGUNNNNNNNNNNNNNNNNNNNNNNNNNNNNNNGGCCCAAAACUAUAUGAUAUAAGUUACGGGUUGGAUAGAACUCAAUAAUUUUAUUCUAUUCUAAACCUAGUAAGUAGGACGGGACAUAAAAUAUCGAAAAUCAAAUUACCGAACAAAACCAAAAAUUUUGAAUUUUGGUAAUUGAUAUUCGGUAAUUCGGUAUUUGUUAUGAUAUUUGAGAGUAAAAUUUCUAACAUUUUUGGAUUGGGUUUGAUACAAGAUUUUAGUACCAUUUGAUAUUCAGUAUUGACCGAAUACCGAUUUUAUAUAUAUAUAUAUAUAUAUAACUAGCCCAAUAGACAAUAGUAUUAAUCAUCUCAAAGAAUCUCUUAGACCUUAGUAAUAUAUUAGUAAAAAACAACAAAAAGAAUACUAAAUAGAAUUUCUAUUAAAUAUACUCUUUAAAGUUUAAACGUACAUUUGCAAAUCUCCAACUUUAAUAUGGUAUUACCAAAUACGAUAUCAAACCAAAGAUCAACUUACCGAUUACCGAACCGAUGUUUGUAAGUAUAGUAUGUGGUAUCUAUGUUCAAAUACCGAUUACCGAAUUACUGAAUCGAACUUUGAAAAUACCGAACCGAAUAUUGAACGUACAUCCAUACUAUUAAGUUGUCAUGUAAUGUUGAAAUUCUGAAUUUAGCUACUACUAUUACUUUAUGUUGUUAUUUAAUAUUACGGGUAGUAUGAGAAUAAAUAAUAAAAGUCUAUUUGAUUUGCGAAAAUGAAUUAAGUAAAUUGAAAUAUCUAUUUUUGAAUAGUGAAUAUGACACAAAUCUACCCUGUAUUAUGCAUAUGGAAAAGGGUCAUUUGCAAUUUUAUCUCUCAGGUAAAUAACAUUUUC